rnacentral:rRNA from 1 species
GGACGAACGGCUGGCGGCGUGCUUAAGACAUGCAAGUCGAACGAACGUAGCAAUACGUUAGUGGCGGACGGGUGAGUAACGUGUGAGCAACCUGCCUUUGUCAGGGGGAUAACACUUAGAAAUAGGUGCUAAUACCGCAUAAUGUUGUCGGAUGGCAUCAUCUGGCAACCAAAGCUUUAUGUGCUGAAAGAUGGUCUCGCGUCUGAUUAGCUAGAUGGCGGGGUAACGGCCCACCAUGGCGACGAUCAGUAGCCGGUCUGAGAGGAUGAACGGCCACAUUGGGACUGAGAUACGGCCCAGACUCCUACGGGAGGCAGCAGUGGGGAAUAUUGGGCAAUGGGGGAAACCCUGACCCAGCAACGCCGCGUGAAGGAAGAAGGCCUUCGGGUUGUAAACUUCUUUUACCAGGGACGAAUUUUGACGGUACCUGGAGAAAAAGCAACGGCUAACUACGUG